rnacentral:rRNA from 1 species
CCUACGGGUGGCUGCAGUGGGGAAUCAUUCACAAUGGGCGAAAGCCUGAUGGUGCGACGCCGCGUGAGGGAUGAAGGCCUUCGGGUUGUAAACCUCUGUCACUGGGGAAGAAACGCUUCAAGUUAAUAGCUUGAAGCCUGACUUAACCCAGAGAGGAAGCAGUGGCUAACUCUGUGCCAGCAGCCGCGGUAAUACAGAGACUGCAAGCGUUAUUCGGAUUCACUGGGCGUAAAGGGUGCGCAGGCGGCCGUGUGUGUUAGGUGUGAAAGCCCGGGGCUUAACCUCGGAAUUGCGCCUAAAACUACACGGCUAGAGCAUUGGAGAGGGUAGCGGAAUUCACGGUGUAGCAGUGAAAUGCGUAGAUAUCGUGAGGAACACCAGAGGCGAAGGCGGCUACCUGGACAAUUGCUGACGCUCAGGCACGAAAGCGUGGGGAGCAAACGGGAUUAGAUACCCCGGUAGUC